GACGAACGCUGGCGGCGUGCUUAACACAUGCAAGUCGAACGGAAAGGCCCUGCUUUUGUGGGGUGCUCGAGUGGCGAACGGGUGAGUAACACGUGAGUAACCUGCCCUUGACUUUGGGAUAACUUCAGGAAACUGGGGCUAAUACCGGAUAGGAGCUCCUGCUGCAUGGUGGGGGUUGGAAAGUUUCGGCGGUUGGGGAUGGACUCGCGGCUUAUCAGCUUGUUGGUGGGGUAGUGGCUUACCAAGGCUUUGACGGGUAGCCGGCCUGAGAGGGUGACCGGCCACAUUGGGACUGAGAUACGGACCAGACUCCUACGGGAGGCAGCAGUGGGGAAUAUUGCACAAUGGGCGGAAGCCUGAUGCAGCAACGCCGCGUGCGGGAUGACGGCCUUCGGGCUGUAAACCGCUUUCGCCUGUGACGAAGCGUGAGUGACGGUAAUGGGUAAAGAAGCACCGGCUAACUACGUG
rnacentral:rRNA from 1 species